rnacentral:rRNA from 1 species
UACGUAGGGUGCAAGCGUUAAUCGGAAUUACUGGGCGUAAAGCGUGCGCAGGCGGCUUUGCAAGACAGAUGUGAAAUCCCCGGGCUUAACCUGGGAACUGCAUUUGUGACUGCAUGGCUGGAGUGCGGCAGAGGGGAUGGAAUUCCGGCGUGUAGCAGUGAAAUGCGUAGAUAUGCGGAGGAACACCGAUGGCGAAGGCAAUCCCCUGGGCCUGCACUGACGCUCAUGCACGAAAGCGUGGGGAGCAAACAGG